rnacentral:rRNA from 1 species
UUGAAAGGGAAACGAUUGAAGUCAGUCAUGCUUGCAGGGAAUCAACAUGGGGGUUUUCUUCCUUGUGCACUUCCUUGCUUGGCAGGUUAGCAUCAAUUUUGAUUGUCAUUAAAGAACUGGGGGAAUGUGGCUUCUUCGGGAGUGUUAUAGACCUUGGUAGAUGUGACGAUCGGGAUUGAGGAUUGCAGCGAAUGCUUCUUGGCUAGUCACCUGGCUUCUGACGGUUACCUUGCUUCCGAUAGCUUGCUAACGGUGGUGAGAUUUGAUUGUCUAGAUGUUAGUGUGAUCAUAAAUUCGCUAAGGAUGCUGACGUAAUGGCUUUAAACGACCCGUCUUGAAACACGGACCA